AUGGUCUCGAAAGAGGGAAGAAAGGAUGAAACAGCACAACGCUUAGAUGGCAGAGUCGGAGCUGCGCACUGCACUGGUCGGUUUUCCCAGCUUGAUCUCCAUGUACAGCUACAUCUUUAGGAUUGGCUGCCGUUUCUAUCCGUAAUAUAAUUAAAACAAAUCAGGAAAAAUCUCUGCCCACCCCCCACCUCCAGCAUUCAGAGAUUAAUGCAAGCAUUUAACAAUGCUUUCCUGUAAGGAUCUUCGUGCCUGCCUUGUGUUUUGGUGGAAAAUCUUAUCUAUUAAAAUGGAUUGAAAGUAAAACAAGGAAGACGUUUGACUGUCUCAGUUCAGAGGUAUUAUUAUAAUAUAAUAUUAUGAUGUAAGUAUAUCUAUGUAUUGCCAAACAAUGAAUAGUAUACCAGAAUACAUUACUAUAUACAGUAUAAUAGAAUACAAUAGUAUUGUAUGUUUGAUAUAAAAGUAUGCCUAUAGUUAAAACUGGUUAAAUUAUACUAAUAGUACAUUUACAAAGAUGAGGGGAGAAUAUCUGAUGCUGAGACAAGCCAUUUACAUUGUCGUUUAUUGUCACUUAAAUGUAUGUCCAGAAAGAAACCAAGAUCUGGAGUAUAAUGAGAAGAGAUCCCGCUCUAGGACCAUAAUAUCCUGAGAAUUUUAUUAAUGAGUCUAUUUUUGCAAGCCACCUUAUUCCAGCCAACGAGACCUCUAGCUUUUUGGUCUGUCCAGUAUCACCACCUAAAAUCAGCCGUCUUUUCAUUUAGGCUGGCUCUAUGGGUUAGGCUGAGAGUGAAUGCACCCAGCUGGCUAAGGCGGGACUUGAACUUUCUGAAGUAUGGGACGCUCAAGUCGACAGCUGCUGGAUAUAAUAAGCCUUGGUUGUUUGGAUUCUCACCGCAAGCAGAGAAAUGACUGGGGAAAGCAAUGACCGUCCACCACUCAGACAGAAAGGAGCCUGGCUCUGCAAUUUCCCUCCAUCUGCGAUUCGGAUUCUGGAAAUUGCCCGCGAUGCCUUUGGCCCAAGGGAAACAGUUGCCCGGGAGAGUAACAAAAGCAUCUCACUCCCCUCCCCUCUCCAGCACCACAGGGCAAGUACAGCGCCUUCUACCGAUUCUGUGUUGGGGCCACAAAUCUACUAGGCAAGUCCAUUCAGACCAGCGGGCUUUCCCGUUAAAAUCGGCGGCAUUUAGACUGCAUGCCGCCGCUUUGUGUUGCCUGCUAAAUCGGACGGGUUUAUCUAGCAGUAGGUCCCAAUUAAAACGCACAUACAUACGUGUCUUUAAAGCAGGACACCAAGA